GGACUACCAGGGUAUCUAAUCCUGUUUGCUCCCCUAGCUUUCGUGCCUCAGUGUCAGAUGUUGUCCAGGGACCCGCCUUCGCCACUGGUGUUCCACUUGAUAUCUACGCAUUUCACUGCUACACCAAGUAUUCCGGUCCCCCCUCCAAAUCUCGAGCAGGAUAGUAUUCAAUGCAGUUUCCGGGUUAAGCCCGGAGAUUUCACAUCAAACUUACCCUGCCACCUACGCACCCUUUACGCCCAGUGAAUCCGAACAACGCUUGGGACCUCUGUAUUACCGCGGCUGCUGGCAC
rnacentral:rRNA from 1 species